ensembl:misc_RNA 7SK 7SK RNA
GGAUGUGAAGGCAAUCUGGCUGUGACAUCUGGUGAUGUGGCUGGGAGGUGGCGUCCUCUCCUCCCUCACUGCUUCACAGGCAUCGCUCCCAAAGCUGCGCACUCAGUGCCCUGAUGGAAGAGGACAACCUUCCCUGGAGAGAGGAGGACCUGACUUCAGUCAGGGGUAUGUGAGUAGCUGCGCUCCUGCUACAACACACACAUAUACACUCUUGCACGCAUGCACGCACCAUGCACGCACCUUCCAUUCCAGUUCUGAGUCUAUCCAUG